rnacentral:rRNA from 1 species
GAAUAUUGGACAAUGGGCGAAAGCCUGAUCCAGCCAUGCCGCGUGUGUGAAGAAGGCCUUUUGGUUGUAAAGCACUCUCAGCGAGGUGGAGGCUACUUGGAUUAAUACUCUAUGUUAGUGGACGUUACUCGCACAAUAAGCACCCGCUAACUCUGUCCCAGCCGCCGCGGUAAUACAGAGGGUGCGAGCGUGAAUCGGAUUGACUGGGCGUAAAGAGUGCGUAGGCGGCUUUUUAAGUCGGAUGUGAAAUCCCUGAGCUUAACUUAGGAAUUGCAUUCGAUACUGGGAAGCUAGAGUAUGGGAGAGGAUGGUAGAAUUCCAGGUGUAGCGGUGAAAUGCGUAGAGAUCUGGAGGAAUACCGAUGGCGAAGGCAGCCAUCUGGCCUAAUACUGACGCUGAGGUACGAAAGCAUGGGGAGCAAAC